rnacentral:rRNA from 1 species
GCAGUUGAAACUGCAUCUUUUGACCAGUGUAGUAAGCUGGUAGAAUAAGUGGGGGGUAAGAUACGUGCCAGCCGCCGCGGUAAUACGUACCCCACGAGUGGCAUCCACUUAUAUUGGGUCUAAAACGUCCGUAGCCGGCUUGGCAAGUCCGUGGUGAAAUCUGCGCGCUCAACGCGUAGGCGUGCUGCGGUUACUACCAGGCUCGGAGGCGGGAGAAGCAACACGUAUUCCUGGGGGAGGGGUUAAAUCCUAUAAGCCCAGGAGGACGACCUACAGCGAAGGCUUGUUGCUAGAACGCGCUCGACGGUGAGGGACGAAAGCUGGGGGAGCAAAUUGGAUUAGAUACCCGCGUAGUCC